rnacentral:rRNA from 1 species
GAUGAACGCUGGCGGCGUGCUUAACACAUGCAAGUCGAGCGAUGAAGUUUCCUUCGGGAAACGGAUUAGCGGCGGACGGGUGAGUAACACGUGGGUAACCUGCCUCAUAGAGUGGAAUAGCCUUCCGAAAGGAAGAUUAAUACCGCAUAACGUUGAAAGAUGGCAUCAUCAUUCAACCAAAGGAGCAAUCCGCUAUGAGAUGGACCCGCGGCGCAUUAGCUAGUUGGUGGGGUAACGGCCUACCAAGGCGACGAUGCGUAACCGACCUGAGAGGGUGAUCGGCCACAUUGGGACUGAGACACGGCACAGACUCCUACGGGAGGCAGCAGUGGGGAAUAUUGAACAAUGGGGGAAACCCUGAUGCAGCAACGCCGCGUGAGUGAUGAAGGUUUUCGGAUCGUAAAGCUCUGUCUUUGGGGAAGAUAAUGACGGUACUCAAGGAGGAAGCCACGGCUAACUACGUGCCAGCCGCCGCCGUAA